AUCACAGACCCGAUGCAGCGA
rnacentral:miRNA from 1 species